UGCCUGAAAACAAAAUGCAUGUUACAAGAUAAAGUGGUAGCUUCUAGUUUAAUUGUGGCGAAUGUCGCGCAAAUGUAGUGACUCAAGAUAGGGCUGUUUGUCUCUUUAUGAUUUUCUUGUUUAGUCCCUUCUUGCUUUUCUUUCACUAGAUGGCGCUGCGGCUGGGUCAGAGUGUUCUAUGGGCAGUACAGAAGAUCUUUUGGAUCCUCAGUUGGAAGACAUAGGAUCUGACACAGUUUCUAUUGGAUCUGGUUCAUCUGCCACUUCUGUUGGGUCACCUUCAGCAGAUGCGUACAUGCAGGUCACUGUCACAAACUCAGGUCAGUUUU
rnacentral:sRNA from 1 species